rnacentral:rRNA from 1 species
CUACGGGUGGCAGCAGUGGGGAAUCUUGCGCAAUGGGGGAAACCCUGACGCAGCGACGCCGCGUGGAUGAGGAAGGCCUUCGGGUUGUAAAGUCCUGUCGCAGAGGAAGAAACGGGAAACCCUGACGGUACUCUGUGAGAAAGCACAGGCUAACUCCGUGCCAGCAGCCGCGGUAAUACGGAGUGUGCAAGCGUUGUUCGGAAUCACUGGGCGUAAAGCGAGUGUAGGCGGACGGUCAUGUCGGAUGUGAAAUUCCGGGGCUCGACCCCGGCCUGUCAUCCGAAACUGGCCGUCUUGGAGUUCGGGAGAGGGUAGCGGAAUUCCCGGUGUAGAGGUGAAAUUCGUAGAGAUCGGGAAGAACACCAGUGGCGAAGGCGGCUACCUGGACCGAUACUGACGCUGAGACUCGAAAGCGUGGGUAGCAAACAGGAUUAGAUACCCCCGUAGUC